GGAACGUUGUGUACGUCCCUGGCUAGAUACUGGCUGGGGGGAGGACAUUGGCUGAGCUGUGUGACUUUAUUGGGAAAAUAAGGAUUCUUGCUGCCUCAGCUUGGCAUUCUCCUCUCAGAUGAUGCUGCCAGGCGCUCGUUAUGGCCAUUUCACUUCUAUGCCAGUGUUGUGCUUGGCCAGAUGUAAGAAGAACUAAAAGCUGCAGCAAUGCUGGAGAAAGACAAACACAGACCAGGCUUCUCUUCAAUCCCAACGCAAUCUCUGAGACAUCUCUCUUG